rnacentral:rRNA from 1 species
CAGUAGCCGCGGUAAUACGUAGGGUGCGAGCGUUAAUCGGAAUUACUGGGCGUAAAGCGUGCGCAGGCGGUUGUGUAAGACAGGUGUGAAAUCCCCGGGCUUAACCUGGGAACUGCGCUUGUGACCGCACAGCUAGAGUAUGGCAGAGGGGGGUGGAAUUCCACGUGUAGCAGUGAAAUGCGUAGAGAUGUGGAGGAACACCGAUGGCGAAGGCAGCCCCCUGGGCCAAUACUGACGCUCAUGCACGAAAGCGUGGGGAGCAAACAGGAUUAGAUACCCCCGUAGUCCCUGUCUCUUAUAC